UCCCUCCAGCUUCAUUUGUUGUAGCCAGUGAAGCGAACACACACUCCAGUCUGGAACCCGAUAAGCGGCAUGAACAGAAAGAGGAACGAGUGAGGAAACCACUUCGCUCUUUCUGGAGACCCUGAGCUUCGGUCACAGUGUUAUAUGAACCUUGUGAUAUAGGCUUCAGUGUCCUUUAUGUGCGCUUCUCGCGGGAAGGCCCCAGAACAGAGGAGCAUUGUGGGACAGGAGGCAGUCAGGGCAGACGAUUUACAUGUUGGCCGGUGGACGAGGAAUGUUGGCGAGAGCCGAGAAAACCAGUUUUGCACAUCGACCCACAACAAUGACAUUGGAUUAAAAAUGGCAUUUGCAGAAUCCGAGGUGUGUUGAAACCACGCGAGCUGCCAAGCUUCUGAAUUAAUGAUGUACUUCAUUACUAAAAUAUAUUUGUGUGUUAUUCUAACUGAAUGCUUGUACGUUCACUCUAUUACAUGUUGAUGGAAAUAACGUGUUUUGAAUGCCAUUUACACUUCAGGAUAAACACUUUUUUACGCUUCCACACGCUUCCACUUUUGCCGGCAGUGAAAUCCAUCCGAGUGUAAAAUGCGAUGAUCGUUUGUCUUUGUUAAAGUCUCAUUCUUCACUCAACGCAGUCUUUGACGGCA
rnacentral:lncRNA from 1 species